UACGUAGGGUGCGAGCGUUGUCCGGAUUUACUGGGCGUAAAGAGCGCGCAGGCGGUUAAUUAAGUCGAAUGUGAAAGCCCCCGGCUCAACUGGGGAGGGUCAUUCGAUACUGAUUAACUUGAAGGCAGGAGAGGGUAGUGGAAUUCCCGGUGUAGUGGUGAAAUGCGUAGAUAUCGGGAGGAACACCAGUGGCGAAGGCGACUACCUGGCCUGUUCUUGACGCUGAGGCGCGAGAGCGUGGGGAGCGAACCGG
rnacentral:rRNA from 1 species